rfam:Picea glauca, whole genome shotgun sequence.
AUGUACAUGCCUACAAUGUUAAUGCAUCGGAUCACAUUAGAACUAUGCAAUCAAGAGCCCUUUUGUUAGCAUAGUACUAUGUUGGGUGACCUCUUGAGAAGUCCUAGUGUUUUACAUG